GACGUAGGGCGCGAGCGUUAAUCGGAAUUACUGGGCGUAAAGCGUGCGCAGGCGGUUUUGUAAGCCGGAUGUGAAAUCCCCGGGCUUAACCUGGGAAUGGCAUUCGGGACUGCAAGGCUGGAGUGCGGCAGAGGAGACUGGAAUUCCUGGUGUAGCAGUGAAAUGCGUAGAUAUCAGGAGGAACACCGAUGGCGAAGGCAGGUCUCUGGGCUGACACUGACGCUCAUGCACGAAAGCGUGGGGAGCAAACAGG
rnacentral:rRNA from 1 species